rnacentral:rRNA from 1 species
UCCGUAGGUGAACCUGCGGAAGGAUCAUUAAAAAAAGAGAAACGUCCCGUUCUUUUUCAUAAGAAUGGGUUCUAUUCCCUUAAACCGUGUCUACAUACCUUUGUUGCUUUGGCAGGCCGCCUUCGGGCGUCGGCUCCGGCUGAUAGUGCCUGCCAGAGGACCCAAACUCUAUGUUUAGUGAUGUCUGAGUACUAUAUAAUAUUUAAAACUUUCAACAACGGAUCUCUUGGUUCUGGCAUCGAUGAAGAACGCAGCGAAAUGCGAUAAGUAAUGUGAAUUGCAGAAUUCAGUGAAUCAUCGAAUCUUUGAACGCACAUUGCGCCCCUUGGUAUUCCGAGGGGCAUGCCUGUUCGAGCGUCAUUAUAACCACUCAAGCCUGGCUUGGUAUUGGGGUUUUCGCGUGUUCGCGGCCCUUAAAAUCAGUGGCGGUGCCGUCUGGCUCUAAGCGUAGUAAUUUCUCUCGCUAUAGGGUUCCGGUGGUUACUUGCCAAAACCCCCCAUUUUUUCUAGGUUGACCUCGGAUCAGGUAGGGAUACCCGCUGAACUUAA